UGACAACUUGUUUACUUCCUUGUGUAGCAGACCCUUUAAAAUGAGCCGUGUGCUACUAUGUGGGAGGUUGCAUCGCUCUUUCCUGACCUCAUUGUUGCGUUUGAGGGAGAUGAACAUCAGACUAAGGAACGAGGAACAUGGUGUUGGCUUCCUGUAUGACCUAGUCCUGCUGUAUUUUGCGAAGGAAAGAAAUGUGGAGGUGGAGCUGAGCUGUGGCCCUGGUGUCUGAGCUGGUUGAAACCUAGAGACAGGGGGAGCGGUGUCCAGGUCUUUGUCUGUCUUCCUAGACAGCGGAGCUGGCUGCUGUGCAGAUCCCCCACACACAUCAAUUCACACCUAAGAGGAAUGUGGAGGAGGUGUGAGGCUGACUACUUCUCUUCUGUCCUGUCAGCUAAUCUUCUCUGUAUCUGUUCCAAUUUAUCAUAUGUGCUACCUGUCCUGUCCACCCCAAACAGCAGUAAAUCACACCUGAAUGAGAUGCUGGGGUGGGGAUACUCUCUUCCAUUUCAAAACUCUACAGAGAUUUCCAGUAUUUUCACAUUCAGUAUAAAAUCACAAACUUAAAUAAAUACAAUUCAAUGGCCAAAGCAUGUUUUCAAAGUGUGAAUGGAAGUGAAAAAAUAUUACAUUAGUUAUUACAUUUGUUAUCAAAAGGAGAUCACAUAGAAUAGUCUAAAUGUGUGCGAGUCAUGUGAUUGAUGUGAGUCAGAAACUAAUACAUGCCUUGGGACAUUUUUUAUGUAUUUGGUGUAGUCUGAAGUUAUGAAGUUGUUGAGUGUAACAUAAUCAUGAUCCAAGAAUUGCUCAAAACUAAGCAAGUAAAAUAAGUGGGGAUGAGGGGAUGCUUUUUUCUAUUCCUGAGGGGAGGCCCACUGUCUCAGACUUUGAAAACCUCUGAUUUAUACUAUUUGUAAGAGAGCUCACUUUUACAGAAAGAAAUAACUUUUAUACAGAGUAAACCUUUACGAAUGGACAGUCAAUUUUGUCAAAGUUCGUUACUAAUUUUACAAAUGUUUUUUUUAGCCAAGAUGUUCACAUUUAGCUUAGCACGAAGUGCACUAUUAUUGUGAUAUUGCAAACAAGGUUUUUGUAAAAUAAAUACAUUUACCCUUCUUCAAA